UACUUCCUUUAUGCUAGCUGAAACCUACUUCAACAUUCCUCUGAUUUGUUAUAUCAAUAACCAGAUCUUUCUCUCCCUAAGAGCUACUUCUGUGCGCACAUCUGAAGCUAUGUUGUACUGGUCGUUGUUCAUGGAGCAUCCACACCCUUCAUCUCCCUUUCUCUGCCUUUUUCUUCUUAUCCUCUGCCUAUGCUACACUCUUGAGGUACUUCCAACCUGCAAUUUUCAGUUGUACGAUGUCUCUUAAAGGCUCCUAAUCUAUACCCCAUACUUUGUAAUCUAUUAAUCCCUUUUGAUUUUACAGUCCCAUGAGCAUCCAUCCCUCCAUUCUUUUAUGUUAAGGUGUAAAGGGCAAAGGGUUCUAUAAAUACCGUACCGUUAAAGUUGUUCAUGAACAACCCAACAUCCCUUUUUGCUCAUGUGAAUCGACUUCUGCUACCUAUCUCUGUGCUAUCCUAGCUAUAGCCAGCUCUGCUUUGCCCUUCCUGCAUCACCAUGGCUGGAUUUUCGCAUACAGCUGUAAGCUAUACCCCUCGAAAGUUCGUCUAUUUCCCUGCACGAUUCAAGCCUCCAUCGUUCAUCUAUCAUCUAUGACCUACACCCUUUUCAAAAUCCAGUUGUGGAUUCUGCUUUACAGGUAGGAUUGUUUUGGCUUUGGGGGUUUUGAUUUUUUUCCAGCUCCAUCACUUUCACUCAUUCUGGUGCAUGACCUGUUGAAGUUGUACAAUGAUAAUAAUGUUCCUCCUCAACGUCUGUUGUUUAAAAUUCCUUCUACAUGGCAAGUGAGUAAUGAAGAAAAGUAGAUGGCAGUGCCUGUUGAGUUGAGAAAUACUGAUGCUUCACCUAAUAUUACAGCUUGCAUAGAGUUUUACAAGCCACAUAACCCAUAUUUCACUUUUAUUCUUUCAUUUAUAUUUAGAGUUCUCUCUUUUGUCACCAAAAAAUGUUUUCUCUUUUCCUUGUAUCUUAAAUCGUUCUUCCAAUAGAUGGAUUCAUGCAGCUGGCUGUAAAUUCUGAGAUGAACUAUUGAGGUUAAUUUUGAUUCAUUGGUAGAGUAAAUUUUUUUAUAUUAUCAUCUAUGUGUUAACACUUCAUUGAAUGAGUUUGACCCUUCAAGUAAUCAGAUAUUCAUUAAAUGAUGUUUAGCACAUCAGUAAGUGAUAGUAGUGAAGAAUUUUCGCAGAAAGAAUAUCAAAGUUGAAUUUGUUAGUUUUACAAGCCAUAUAACCCAUAAUCUAGAUUUCUUGUUUCAGCUGAAUUCAGAAAUAUAAUGAAAAAACAGAAACCCAUAAUGAUAAUAUGAACAGAAAAUAACAUAUAUAUGUAUAUUUGCAGAGUAUAAUUAGUUAAAUUUAAACUAUUGAGCAUCAAUCUUUCAUCAAUGAAACUUCAAGUAUGUUGACUUUUAACUUGCAGAGUAUAUGAUUUUGAUUGUCUUCACAUUUCUCCCUAUGGUAUAAGCACCACUUGAUGUAGUUGAUAGCAUUAGUUUUGAUUUGGGUGUGUAUAAAGGCCUCUGCAAUUAAGUGCAGGUUUCAUCUUGAUUUGAACUAUUUUUUGUAAUUGAUAACAAUUUUAUUUCUCUAUAUUUUUCUCCCUAGAAUUAGUCUUGGUGUAUAUAAAGGCCUCCUAUCUACUAACUUAAGUUUCAAAAUCUCAUUUCACUGUUCAUGGCCAUCUUUUUUUUUUGUUAGCAAGUGAAGGUUUGUUGGGCCUAUUGGGUUACCUGGGCUGAGCCUUUCUGUUCUCUACUUUUCUCUUCCUAACCUCUGAAGCUACUACAAUCCAUCUAAAACCUACUUCAUCAUUCCUUUCUCUGCCUUUCUCUUCCUAUCCUCUGAAGCUAUGUUGUACUGGGCGUGUUCAUGGAGCAUCCACACCCUUCAUAUCCCUUUCUCUGCCAUUUUCUUCCUAUCUUCUGCCUAUGCUACACUAUUGAGGUACUUCCAACCUGCAAUUUCCAGCUGUACAACGUCUCUUACAGCUGCUUUGUUAAGCUACUCUUCACGAUUUGCGUUCCAGAUUCAAUCCUUAUCAAUGAAUAUAUAACUUCACUCAAUCUAUGAAGACCCGCAGAGAAACAUGGGGAUUGAUAUUAUGAGGCUGAAAAGUGAUCAUAUAAGGGUUUGAAGUUUGAACAUAUUCAGAUCUUGAUUUUUCAUCACUGAAAGAGGAUGCUCAGCUGACUUUUGUUUAAUGUCUUGGAGCUGGAGCAUGCACUAAAAUAAUUGCUUACUCAAUGGAUUUGGUUCGAGUUGUGCAGUUUGCAGGAAUAUAUCCUUGCCAUCCUGCCACGGCAAAACCUCAGCAGCAUCCACUAAUAUACAUGCAGGGAUUGCCUCGGAAAUGGAUGCAAUAAGGGAUUUGCCUAUUAACUUAAAUAAUUGAUUUGGACAUCAAAAAGAAGUGCACCUGCCAUAUUCAAGCAUAAUCUUUAAUUUAUUUUUACUGGUGUCUGAAGCUUUUCCAAUUUGUAGUGUUUUUCAUAAAACCCUUACCUGCUAAGCUUAAAAUCUAAGGGGAACUCUUCAAGGUGAAAUCAAUAUUCAAUUAAUUCUUUUUUUUUUUGCAGUUUGACAUGUUUCCUAUUCUGCCUCUUCACAGGUUAUGGAUCAAGCUAUGGAGAAAGGCCUUAUUUUCAUUGACGGUUUUGGACCAAAACAUGAUGCUGCCACUAGCCAUUCUGUAUACGAGAUGGUCUGCGGUUUUACCUUUUUUUCCUAUUCUGUAUCGGUGACAUGCCGGUCUAGAUGUUGCAGAAGAACAAUUGUUUGAUGAUAUUGAUUGUCAAGGUGUUGUGAAGGAUUUUGAGCAAGGGUGAUGUCUAAGAGGUACAUUUUGAAGGAGGGUUUGAGCAAAUCCAGGCAGCACUCCAAAUAGGUCUAUCUGUCACAGUUCAUUACACAUACAAUGAUGUGGGCCGGUUUAAUAUCAGAAUCUUUCAUGAUGAUGAUAAUGAGGUGGAAUAUGAAGACCAAGUGGAGCAGCCCCCCAACGUAGAAGGAGAGUUCAUCUGGUUUACUGAACUCACUGAGCCACUAUGCACUGGAGAUCAAGUAUUAGUAUUAGUCUGUUCACAGCCUUUUCCAUAUCUCUAACAUAUUUAACUAUGCAAUUUUUGAGUAUUUUUUAAAUUUUCGUAGCCUAUUCCUACUGCUGUUGUGAUUGAGCUUCUCCAACACCAGCCUAAUUUACUAAACAUGAUAUUGCCUAAUGGGACUAGAGAGGAAUGGACACUGAAAUGGGCCAAGGGUAGAGCUCGGCAGUGCGUGUUUGGGACAGGCUGGUAUCAGUUAUGCAGGGCGCACAAUUUCCGUUUUAGGGAUCAGUUGCUCUUCUUUAAGAUGCAACAAGGACAAAUACCUACAAAGUUGAAGUCCAUCAGGUCUAAAGCGUGUUUUGCUGAAGUGUUUGUUUGAUGAUUUCGUGCUGUUUAUUUCCAGGCAGUGUCUAUGAUCUAAAUGUCCUUCAGAUGGCGUAGUCGAAUAUUUUCUUUAGUACAUGUCCUUUUUUCGAUUUCGUGUUGUCAAGUGUUAUCAAGUUGUGCCAAAAAAACCUGUUAUUAUGUCCUUUAAAUUAUUGUUGUUGCUUUUGUUUUUGGCUUUAUUGCUUAAAUCCUUUAAUAUAUUCCCCCUUUUUUAUACAACGAAGGGGUGUGAAACUUUUUUGCA